rnacentral:tRNA from 1 species
GCCCGGGUGGCGAAAUCGGUAGACGCAAGGGACUUAAAAUCCCUUUUCCGCAAGGAAGUGCGGGUUCGAGUCCCGCCCCGGGCACCA